AAAAUGAGAGGCAGAUGAUCUCUAAUAGUCAGUCACUGAGUGUCUUCCAAGUGACAAUCAGUGUCACUUGGUUAAUGCAACACCAAGUUGCCUGAGGAACCUGUUUCUGACCCAGGCAACUAUGCAGGUUGUGAAGCCAGAGGGGAGUUUGAGCACCAAGUUCAAGAAGGCAGUCUUGCAAGACUUUCCUCGAAGCAGCUCCUACAGACUGGCUCUUUCACCUUAAACGCCAUAGUUUUGGAUACAGAACCUGAGAGAGAAGAGCAAGGAUUUGGACUGUGGCCUAGAGAGGGAAUUUGCAGCUCUCUUUCCCAAGGAAUGAAUCGCAGCCCCUCAGGCUGGAACAGGCAGGUGCUGCGAAAUCUGGCUGACAGGGCAGCGCUCGCCAUCGAAUGACUUCCAGGUGCUCCGGGGCACAGAGCUACAGCACCUGCUACAUGCGGUGGUGCCCGGGCCUUGGCAGGAGGAUGUGGCAGAUGCUGAAGAGUGUGCUGGUCGCUGUGGGCCCUUAAUGGACUGCUGGGCGUUCCACUACAAUGUGAGCAGCCAUGGUUGCCAA
ensembl:lncRNA novel transcript